rnacentral:sRNA from 1 species
UCCCCUCACUCAGGGGAGUAGUCUCUCUGUAUUCAGAGGUUGUCGUCAACAUACUUGAGCCUCAAUGUUCAUGGCGAUAACGGCACAAGCCCAUUCAAUGCAAUGGCUAGUGUU